UGGUGCCCAGCGUGAGGGCUCCUGGCACAGGGGAGUUAAUGAGGGAGCCAUUCAAGAAUGCCAGCGAGAAGUAAAAACAAAUUGAAUCAAGGAUCGAAGCUAAGAGUGAAAGCACAUUGAAUCAAGGACUGAGGCCUGCGUGGACGACCACCCGGCGUGCCGCCUGAGUCAUGGUGAGUGAAUGGCAAUCCCAUUCCCUUUCCUGGGCAUGGGUCAAGCAUUGAGCGCACAUGAAUUGUUCGUGGGAAGCCUCAGCAAGGCAUUAAAGACAAGAGGGGUAAGGGUUAGAAUAAAAGAAUUGUUGCAGUAUUUUCAGUUUAUCCAUAAGGUCUGCCCUU
rfam:Cavia porcellus supercont2_10 genomic scaffold, whole genome shotgun sequence.